GCGUCAUUGGUGUAACAGCAGCAUGUCGGUCUUCCAAACCGCGGGUGCCGGGGCAGAUCCGGCAUGGCGCACCA
rnacentral:tRNA from 1 species